GGUUGUGUAGUGUAGCGGUUAUCACUCUGGAUUUUGACAAAGGUGCAAAGCGGCAAACCCGCCCACGCCCGGCUCUCAAUCAUUCCAGUAACCCCGGUUCGAACCCGGGCACGACCU